GGAAGGAUAACCACUCUUUGUAGCCUUCUGUCGUCCUCUUUUAUUGGAUUUUUUUCCUUUUGUCAAAUCAAGUCAAAAGCCUACGUGGAGAAUGCUGCAAAAUGUUUAUUCGAAGUAGGGGACUGACUGUCUAUUCAAUGAUUUGUUGGUGCUGGGUUCCUGAGUUUCCCAAUCUGUUAGCAAUGUUCCUGUUGUCACGUUUCUCAAUCCGUCGGCAAUAUUGAUAGAUCUUAGUUUUUAAUAAGAUCUAUGAGUAGGGAGUUAGGCAGGGAUUUCAUUGAUUGACAAAGUUGAUGACUAGACCAUCUAUAUGUCAGGGAGAUUCAUGCAUCCAUUCUUGUCGAGAUUGUUUCUUGCUUUCUCAUACUUUUGCAGCUAGUUCCAGGUAUCCCUAAGUCCACAUGCUAUCUUUACUUUUGUAUACAUGGGUUACUCUAGGUGCUUAUGAGUUAUGGAUGGAUGUUGGUUCUAAGGGAGAGUCGGUAAUACGCGUGUUAGAACUGAAAACGAGAUGCAAAAAUGCUGUGCUGAGCAAAGAAAAAAGAGAGAGAGGGAAAAAUAGCCUCAGCCAUUUUAGGGGGUUUUUAUAUAUAUGUAUAAAGUCCUUGAAACCUAUGCCAACUCUAUUGUGUUUUCCAGGUUCAGUAGUGAUGCUAUCUAAUUCCUGUUGGAAACCUUUUUGAGUUGAAUAAGGAAUGAGUUUUGCUCCUCCUGCGCUUUUUAAAAUUUGCGCUUCUCAUAUAUUUGGGUAGGGACCAUAUGUAGGUGCUUAUUGCACAUGUUAUGUCCUUCUCUGUUGGUCUUUCAUUGCUAGGGACAUUAAAGUUUACUUAGAUGUAGUAGCUGAUGUAGUCAGAGAAGCAAAAUAUAGCAAAAGGAACAAAAACAGGGCUAAAAUACCUAUUUAUACACCCUUGAUCUAACAUAACUACUUCUAAUCUAUACCAUUGGAGCUUAUUAAAAGCCACAUGACUGGGACAUGAGUGUUUUUUAACCUAAUAACAUAUUUAAAGACUCAAUAAAGAACAAAACACUUAAAAAUACAAAUAAACGUGUCUCUGGAUCAACCUUCUUCAUCUCCUCUGCCAAAAUCCAAGGAAGGUACCAGAUUUACCGAACCAUUUCAUUGGGAACUUUCCAUCCAUAGUACCAUUCCUAGUAAGUAUUAUUCUUUGAUUGGAGAAAACUCGGCCUUGAUGUAGCGGAUUCCUUCCAAUCAUCACUAAUAUUCGAAUCCCAUCAUCAAAGCAAUCGAAGUUUUCUUGCUUCCCGAAAGCUUGCCAAUUGAUACUUUCACUCAAACCCUCAAAUUGAUCAGGAAUGACAAAAUUUAUCAUCAACAUGAACAAUACUCUCUCUUCUUCUUUAAAUUAGCCAGCAUUUCCUUCACAUGCUUGCUCAUCUUCUUCUUUAAUACCUAUUGCAUAUUGAUAAGUAACUGAAUCAAAACCUUCAGAAAGACUUUUCCCCGGCUCACUUGAACCAUCAGUACUUUUGACAAUUCCAUCUUCUGCCAGUAAAUUUACUGCAAACGCUUUGUCUUGAUCACCAUAGUCAAUCCCGUACAAUUGUUGCAUGACUUAUGUCAUCAUCUCAUGUAACUGUUGUUGUUUCAUUGUCAAAAUCUUCACGGAAAGGAUAGAUCUCUUCAUCAUGAUCUAAGGCAUGAUGCAGUAGCUCUUCCAAUCCACGUUUCUCUGGUCUGGCAUCAUGAAAGGGAUUUUCAUCAAAUAUUAUUAUUAUCAUCCUUGAAACCACCUUCCGGCAUGUCCAGGAUCGCAGUGACCUUCUGGAUUCUUCAUAUGGGCUUUCACAGUUUCCUGUCACUGCAAAGUUUGAACAGCCUGCAACAAGUCUUCAAUCAUACAUCGCAUCUCAGCCAUCUCUAUUUGUUGAGCUUGAUUGCCUCUUCCAUGACCUCUUCCCCGUCCGACCAUCAUGUCGAAACGAAAACCGUAAUUGCAAGUUGGAAUCGUUGUAGCUCUAAUACCAAUUAAUAAAGGAAAACCGUAACAAGGGGAUCUAAUACCAAUUUGAUGAGGUCGGAGAAUUGAAAGAUAGCAAAAAGAAUUAAAACAACUUGAAGAUGGAACAGAGAAUGGUUAUUCUAGGA